rnacentral:rRNA from 1 species
AUUGAACGCUGGCGGCAGGCCUAACACAUGCAAGUCGAGCGGAGCGGCGGACGGGUGAGUAAUGACUAGGAAUCUGCCUGGUAGUGGGGGAUAACGUCCGGAAAGGGGCGCUAGUACCGCAUCCUAUCAGAUGAGCCUAGUUCGGAUUAGCUAGUUGGUGGGGUAAAGGCCUACCAAGGCGACGGACCGUAACUGGUCUGAGAGGAUGGUCAGUCACACUGGAACUGAGACACGGUCCAGACUCCUACGGGAGGCAGCAGUGGGGAAUAUUGGACAAUGGGCGAAAGCCUGAUCCAGCCAUGCCGCGUGUGUGAAGAAGGUCUUCGGAUUGUAAAGCACUUUAAGUUGGGAGGCGUUACCAACAGAAUAAGCACCGGCUAACUACGUGCCAGCCGCCGCGGUAAUUC